AGUGUCUUCAUCUCUGCAUCCCUAGUGCAACAGAGCAUGAUAAAAAUUCAAUAAAUAUUUAUUGCAGAGUCUUGAUGUCUUUUGGGAAAGGAACUCUAUGGUUACCUUUACUCUAAGUUAAAAAACAACAACAACAACAAAAAAAAAACCCACAAAACCCUGAGGCUCAGAAGAUAAAUAUUUGCUGAAGAUCACUGUGCUUAUUAGAAGGGUGUUACUGAUUCUUACCUCAGAGAAGAGAAUGUCAUGGAGACAAAAUGACCUGCUUAGAGUUCUGCGCCCCCCAGCAUGGAGAGCAGAGCGCAAAGAUUUCCUCCAGACUCCCACAUUCUCCCUUGGAAUCCAAGAACUUGUCUACUAUCACAACACUUUAGUACCCACUUGUAAGCCCGUGGACAAAUCCUCUGAGGCCUUGAUACCUCAGUUUUCCCCCACUAUAAAUGGGAAGAUAAAUUCACUAGAAACAGUA
rnacentral:antisense_RNA from 1 species